CCUACGGGUGGCAGCAGUGAGGAAUAUUGGUCAAUGGUCGGGAGACUGAACCAGCCAAGCCGCGUGAGGGAUGAAGGUACAGAGUAUCGUAAACCUCUUUUGUCAGGGAACAAAGGCGGGGACGUGUCCCCGGAUGAGUGUACCUGAAGAAAAAGCAUCGGCUAACUCCGUGCCAGCAGCCGCGGUAAUACGGAGGAUGCGAGCGUUAUCCGGAUUUAUUGGGUUUAAAGGGUGCGCAGGCGGUCUGUUAAGUCGGCGGUAAAAGCCCGGGGCUCAACCCGGCCCCGCCGUGGAAACUGGCAGGCUUGAGUUGGAGAGAAGCAUGCGGAAUGCGUGGUGUAGCGGUGAAAUGCAUAGAUAUGGCGAAGAACCCCGAUUGCGAAGGCAGCAUGCCGGCGCCACACUGACGCUGAGGCACGAAAGCGUGGGUAUCGAACAGGAUUAGAUACCCGGGUAGUC
rnacentral:rRNA from 1 species